rnacentral:rRNA from 1 species
GGGUUGUGAGGUUAAGCGACUAAGCGUACACGGUGGAUGCCCUGGCAGUCAGAGGCGAUGAAGGACGUGCUAAUCUGCGAAAAGCGUCGGUAAGGUGAUAUGAACCGUUACAGCCGGCGAUGUCCGAAUGGGGAAACCCAGUGCAAUUCGUUGCACUAUCGUUAACUGAAUACAUAGGUUAACGAGGCGAACCGGGGGAACUGAAACAUCUAAGUACCCCGAGGAAAAGAAAUCAACCGAGAUUCCCCCAGUAGCGGCGAGCGAACGGGGAGCAGCCCAGAGUCUGAAUCAGCUUGUGUGUUAGUGGAACGGUCUGGAAAGUCCGACGGUACAGGGUGAUAGUCCCGUACACCAAAAUGCACAGGCUGUGAACUCGAAGAGUAGGGCGGGACACGUGGUAUCCUGUCUGAAUAUGGGGGGACCAUCCUCCAAGGCUAAAUACUCCUGACUGACCGAUAGUGAACCAGUACCGUGAGGGAAAGGCGAAAAGAACCCCGGCGAGGGGAGUGAAAAAGAACCUGAAACCGUGUACGUACAAGCAGUGGGAGCACCUUCGGGUGUGACUGCGUACCUUUUGUAUAAUGGGUCAGCGACUUAUAUUCUGUAGCAAGGUUAACCGUAUAGGGGAGCCGCAGGGAAACCGAGUCUUAACUGGGCGUUAAGUUGCAGGGUAUAGACCCGAAACCCGGUGAUCUAGCCAUGGGCAGGUUGAAGGUUGGGUAACACUAACUGGAGGACCGAACCGACUAAUGUUGAAAAAUUAGCGGAUGACUUGUGGCUGGGGGUGAAAGGCCAAUCAAACCGGGAGAUAGCUGGUUCUCCCCGAAAGCUAUUUAGGUAGCGCCUCGUGAACUCAUCUUCGGGGGUAGAGCACUGUUUCGGCUAGGGGGUCAUCCCGACUUACCAACCCGAUGCAAACUACGAAUACCGAAGAAUGUUAUCACGGGAGACACACGGCGGGUGCUAACGUCCGUCGUGAAGAGGGAAACAACCCAGACCGCCAGCUAAGGUCCCAAAGUCAUGGUUAAGUGGGAAACGAUGUGGGAAGGCACAGACAGCCAGGAUGUUGGCUUAGAAGCAGCCAUCAUUUAAAGAAAGCGUAAUAGCUCACUGGUCGAGUCGGCCUGCGCGGAAGAUGUAACGGGGCUAAACCAUGCACCGAAGCUGCGGCAGCGACACUAUGUGUUGUUGGGUAGGGGAGCGUUCUGUAAGCCUGCGAAGGUGUGCUGUGAGGCAUGCUGGAGGUAUCAGAAGUGCGAAUGCUGACAUAAGUAACGAUAAAGCGGGUGAAAAGCCCGCUCGCCGGAAGACCAAGGGUUCCUGUCCAACGUUAAUCGGGGCAGGGUGAGUCGACCCCUAAGGCGAGGCCGAAAGGCGUAGUCGAUGGGAAACAGGUUAAUAUUCCUGUACUUGGUGUUACUGCGAAGGGGGGACGGAGAAGGCUAUGUUAGCCGGGCGACGGUUGUCCCGGUUUAAGCAUGUAGGCUGAUUGUCCAGGCAAAUCCGGAUAAUCAAGGCUGAGGUGUGAUGACGAGGCACUACGGUGCUGAAGUAACAAAUGCCCUGCUUCCAGGAAAAGCCUCUAAGCAUCAGGUAACAUCAAAUCGUACCCCAAACCGACACAGGUGGUCAGGUAGAGAAUACCAAGGCGCUUGAGAGAACUCGGGUGAAGGAACUAGGCAAAAUGGUGCCGUAACUUCGGGAGAAGGCACGCUGGUGUGUAGGUGAAGUCCCUGCGGAUGGAGCUGAGACCAGUCGAAGAUACCAGCUGGCUGCAACUGUUUAUUAAAAACACAGCACUGUGCAAACACGAAAGUGGACGUAUACGGUGUGACGCCUGCCCGGUGCCGGAAGGUUAAUUGAUGGGGUUAUCCGUAAGGAGAAGCUCUUGAUCGAAGCCCCGGUAAACGGCGGCCGUAACUAUAACGGUCCUAAGGUAGCGAAAUUCCUUGUCGGGUAAGUUCCGACCUGCACGAAUGGCGUAAUGAUGGCCAGGCUGUCUCCACCCGAGACUCAGUGAAAUUGAACUCGCUGUGAAGAUGCAGUGUACCCGCGGCAAGACGGAAAGACCCCGUGAACCUUUACUAUAGCUUGACACUGAACAUUGAGCCUUGAUGUGUAGGAUAGGUGGGAGGCUUUGAAGCGUGGACGCCAGUCUGCGUGGAGCCAACCUUGAAAUACCACCCUUUAAUGUUUGAUGUUCUAACGUUGGCCCCUGACCGGGGUUGCGGACAGUGUCUGGUGGGUAGUUUGACUGGGGCGGUCUCCUCCCAAAGCGUAACGGAGGAGCACGAAGGUUAGCUAAUCCUGGUCGGACAUCAGGAGGUUAGUGCAAUGGCAUAAGCUAGCUUGACUGCGAGCGUGACGGCGCGAGCAGGUGCGAAAGCAGGUCAUAGUGAUCCGGUGGUUCUGAAUGGAAGGGCCAUCGCUCAACGGAUAAAAGGUACUCCGGGGAUAACAGGCUGAUACCGCCCAAGAGUUCAUAUCGACGGCGGUGUUUGGCACCUCGAUGUCGGCUCAUCACAUCCUGGGGCUGAAGUAGGUCCCAAGGGUAUGGCUGUUCGCCAUUUAAAGUGGUACGCGAGCUGGGUUUAGAACGUCGUGAGACAGUUCGGUCCCUAUCUGCCGUGGGCGCUGGAGAAUUGAGGGGGGCUGCUCCUAGUACGAGAGGACCGGAGUGGACGCAUCACUGGUGUUCGGGUUGUCAUGCCAAUGGCACUGCCCGGUAGCUAAAUGCGGAAGAGAUAAGUGCUGAAAGCAUCUAAGCACGAAACUUGCCCCGAGAUGAGUUCUCCCUGAGACU